GAAAUGCGAUAAGUAGUGUGAAUUGCAGAAUUCAGUGAAUCAUCGAAUCUUUGAACGCACAUUGCGCCCCUUGGUAUUCCAUGGGGCAUGCCUGUUCGAGCGUCAUUUGUACCUUCAAGCUUUGCUUGGUGUUGGGUGUUUGUCUCGCCUCUGCGCGCAGACUCGCCUCAAAACAAUUGGCAGCCGGCGUAUUGAUUUCGGAGCGCAGUACAUCUCGCGCUUUGCACUCAUAACGACGACGUCCAAAAAGUACAUUUUUUACACUCUUGACCUCGGAUCAGGUAGGGCUACCCGCUGAACUUAAGC
rnacentral:misc_RNA from 1 species